rnacentral:rRNA from 1 species
AGUGAACGCUGGCGGUAUGCCUAACACAUGCAAGUCGAACGACAACACAGUAAGCGCUUGCCCUUACGGGUGGCGGGUGACGGGCGGGUAACACAUACAUCAGCAUCUACUUUUUCUUGGAGAACUUCGGGGAACCGCUUACGCUACUGCCGCAUAUGUCCUACGGGUUGGAUCAAUAGUUCUUGGGGCCUUUCGCGAUUGUAUUAGCCGGCGCCGGAUUAGCUAGUUGGCAGGGUAAAGGCUCACCAAGGCAACGAUGCGUAGCCGAUCUGAGAGGGUGAUCGGCCACACUGGAACUGAGACACGGUCCAGACUCCUACGGGAGGCAGCAGUAGGGAAUCUUCCGCAAUGGGCGAAAGCCUGACGGAGCAACGCCGCGUGAGUGAUGAAGGUCUUCGGAUCGUAAAACUCUUUUAUUAGGGAAGAAAAAAUGUGUAAGUAAAUAUGGACGUCUUGACGGUACCUAAUCAGAAAGCAACGGCUAACUACGUG